rnacentral:rRNA from 1 species
AUUGAACGCUGGCGGCAGGCCUAACACAUGCAAGUCGAGCGGAUGAAGGGAGCUUGCUCCUGGAUUCAGCGGCGGACGGGUGAGUAAUGCCUAGGAAUCUGCCUGGUAGUGGGGGAUAACGUCCGGAAACGGGCGCUAAUACCGCAUACGUCCUGAGGGAGAAAGUGGGGGAUCUUCGGACCUCACGCUAUCAGAUGAGCCUAGGUCGGAUUAGCUAGUUGGCGGGGUAAAGGCCUACCAAGGCGACGAUCCGUAACUGGUCUGAGAGGAUGAUCAGUCACACUGGAACUGAGACACGGUCCAGACUCCUACGGGAGGCAGCAGUGGGGAAUAUUGGACAAAGGGCGAAAGCCUGAUCCAGCCAUGCCGCGUGUGUGAAGAAGGUCUUCGGAUUGUAAAGCACUUUAAGUUGGGAGGAAGGGCAGUAAGUUAAUACCUUGCUGUUUUGACGUUACCAACAGAAUAAGCACCGGCUAACUUCGUG